GAGCGGAGAUGGUGAAGAGAGAGAGGUUGCAGCUGCCGUCGUUCUCAUUGGUUCCCCACAAGCACCGAGUCAGCUAUGACGUCACAAAGGAUCGCCGUCCUCUUCAUCGCCGCCAUCUUGAGCGUCUCGAUCACGCCCGCAAUAGCUAAAGAACAUGAAAAAUCACUGGCAUCUUCAAAUACAAAACCCAAAGAACCCGCGGCAUCUACAUCUGCAGAGGGCGAGUCGACCAACUGGUGUAAGAUUGGCGCCAUGGCAGCCGGAGGAGG